CUUCAAAUUUUUUGCUGGCGUUAAGUUCACUUUGGAAAGGAUUGCAAAAUACAUCUCCAAUACUAUUCGAUAUUUCUCAACUGGUUGUGACCAUUUUUGACCUUUUCGUGAACUUCUCGGAUCGUCAACAACACAAACCUUUAGUUAUUUCCAUAAUUUUCGAACAGCGAUAACCACGGAUGGGAGCUUAGGAAUAUAUGUAAACUAAAGAACAAACGAACGAACGGACGGACAGAAGGACGAACAAACGAUCGGGCAGACAGUCAUAGGAAGGACAUAAAGUUCAUAACGUACUAAAUAAACCGUUGUAACGUUAGAAGUAGCUCACCCUGCAAUAUAAAUUAGGAUGUAUAUAAUUUUGCACCAGCGAAUACAGAUCACUUAAAUAAGGAUGAAGAUAGGGUUAUUGUUUCAGUAUAGGGAAAUGGGGUUCCACAUGCUGUGCCUGGCUGACGCUUUUUAUGGGCAUCCGCCCAUAAAAACAGGGCCGUGGCACAACUCAAUUUUUCCCAAUCUCAAUUUCCCCAUUACUUGGAAAUCUCACUCCUUUCUUGGCACCAAAAUCAGGUGUCUCCUUUACCAUCAUUCUUGCUGCCAAACUCGGAAAAGCUGAAUAAUUAAAAGAUUAUUUAAUAUCCUACAAAUUAAUUUUCUGACAUCCACUCAAUUACAUAAAUCGCUUCAACUCACCACAAGUUAAGCUCUAAGCUUCAACUCUCGGUAAGUAGUAAAAGAAUUACUAUUUUCUUUCAACAAUGAACGGUGGGGACACAAAUAUGGUGGUGACACGUUCAUUUUUACGAGUGAUUUGGAUGUUAAUUUAUUGCGAUUUAUUGGUACAGGUAACUGCUAAGGACAAUUUUUCAUCCAUUAAUUUUGCGACCUCUCUGCCGUGCCCCCACCAGAAAUCUGUGUCAUCGCCGGCCAGCCUGGUAAAUAACAACUUUAACUGGAUUCUGCAACAAUAAGGACCAAGGAACUUGUAUUUCGUAAUGCACUAUAUUUUAUUGAAGUAUAGACUCAUCAAUUACCAUUAGUUGUUGUUCGUGACCUGGUAACAGUGUGAAAUUGUCGGAAACUUCGUUAAAGUUUUACAAGAUUCAAAAAUAGUUUCUCAUAUAAUGAACGAUAUAAUAUUGUGACCUAUUGCCCCUUCCUCCACCAGAUCCGUGUCUCCACCGGUCAAUUUAUCUGAUCUAUCAGUGUUCACCUAUUUGGCCAAACAAGGGUACUUAAAUAAUGUGACUUUGUCAAGACUAUUAAAAAACUUUCAAAACUUCGCUUAAGACUCAUCAAUUACUAUGAGACCUUGUUCGUGACUCGGGAAUAGUGUGAAAUUCUCAGGAACUUCAGUAAAGUUUACCAGGUUCAACCAUAAUAUUAAAAUAAUAGUUUCUUAUCUCCAAAAAUUAAAAAAGCAACUAACGGUGGACACACACAUGCAUAUGGUGGAAACACGUUCAUUUUAAUUACUGAUUCGCCUUCAUGUACUCAAAUUCAGUGUGACUUUCUUCAAAAUCUUCUUAAAAUAAACAAUUAACGGUGGAGACACAUAAAUAUGGUGAAAACACGUUAUUUGUUUCAAGCAGGUUUCAAAUUACUAAUUGCUUGUUAUUUUUCGCAGGAAAUCCAGUUGCUCAAAACAUUUAUUUGAAUUUAAUAAACCGUCGUUUGUCACGGUCCGAAAUAUAAAGCGGUACUAAUUGUGAUAAUUCUUGAAACCAAGAAAAUCGUAAUUACGCCUUUCUGCCAAAGCGUCAGGUUCCAGCAGUGGUGUAAAAUUCUCGACAUCGAUAAGGAAAACGUAUCACCUAAAACUGUCGUUUGCAGCAAACACUUUUAGCCACCUUCAAGAAAUUUCUCAAAGAGUUUUACCGACCUCUCCACCCCAUUUGUGUCUUCACCAUUGUCUGUGUCUCCACCGAAAGGGGGGUGGGUUAAUUUAUCCUUUAUAUGAACAAGAAGAUAAAGAUUAGAAAUAAGUUUCACUACAGUUUGAAGAAGAACCAGAACCACAUUCAACUGUUUCCAUUUUCCUUAUAUACUCAAGGCACGAAAAUUAUUGCUACUAUUUAUAAUAAAAUAUUUUGCAACCGGGAAAUUAUUUCGAUGUUUGUAAAAUUAAAGUAAAAUUGUAUUUAUGCUAAAUCAAUUUUUGUUGCAAUAAAUUUGGUUGUAAAUCUGCAUCACAACAACUUUCAGUUUUUAAUUAAUUAUUCGAACUUAGAAAGUCGCAAAAAUUCUCCAUUCGAGAUGACGAAAAUCUGUACAAAAAUUAAGUCACAUUAAAUCCUGAGCAUGGUUGUAAAACUGCUCUGACAUAUCUUGUCGUUAAACUUACUUAAUAAUUGAUGAUGGUGGGUGGGU